rnacentral:lncRNA from 1 species
CUCUUGGCCGCAUUUUUAGUCCGCAAUGCGCCUCCCCUUCAAGCCGAGUUCCUGGUCAUAUAUUGUGGACUGCUCUUGCCUGCUAUGGUCGUCCGCAAUGGGCAUUAAUUUUCGAGUCAUGGUUGAACCUUCACUCGGAUUUCAAUAUUUUUGCUAAUCAAAUCAUCCAAACUUCAAUUCGAAACACCUCCAAACCUGAAAU